CUGGUCUCUUGUCUUCUUCCUGACAAAGUGGACAAGUAUAUCUCUUGGAUAAGCAACAUAACGCUGUAUGAAGAAAAGGAGAAUGAAAUAGCAAGCAAAAACAUAAAUAAAAAUAAAGCCAUAAACAAACUCUCUGAAAAAGAUGUUGGCUGUGGCUGCCCUGCUUUCCUGCACAACUUUUCUACCUCACUGAUCAGUUGAUGCUGUGCAAUGGAAUGGUUCGGAAACCUCGGGCGUGGUCAAGAAUUGCCAAAAAGAAGUGAUUCAUCUGGAAUGGCAAAUUUACAAAAUCUAAAGGCCAUAGCAGCUUAUUAUACUUUUCUAUACCAAAUCGCUCAUCUACACCUUCGUUAAGAUAUUCAGAAGAAGAUACCCCCUUAAAAGAAAAUAAGGAUGAAAUGACUCCCUCAUGCUUUUUCUUCUCACCUGAAUGGUACCGUUCCAAAUGAGUGUUUUUCAGCUACUACAGACUAUUACUUACAAAUGCAUACAAAACUGGAUACAUAGCUAAACAACAUUCGAUAAUCUUCCAGAACAGUUCAUUCUUCCAUUAAAAUAAGGCACUCACUGGCCAAAAACUUAAGGUAACGUUUAAAAGGAAUUAAGCCUCCCUCUGAAAACUAGCUUAAAGUCUGGAUUACAGAGCAGCUCAGCCUGCUGCCUUAAGGAGAGAUUCUAGGCAUUGUUUCUCACAGGGGCCAUUGCCACUUCUAUUGAGGGUGCUCCAUGAGGAAUGUCCGCACUUGGCCACAGCACUUUCAAAUUAGGGAUCUCUCGCAUUUCAGAGCUUUCCUCAUUAUAAUCAUUGCCAGGGCUGCUUGGUCCUGGCAAGCUCACUUUCUUAGCCUUUCAGCACAUUUUACAGAUGCUGCAGCUUUUCCUUUGGCUAAGGAACUGUCUUGGAGGGGGUCCCCUCCUGGCUACUGGCUCUGAACUCAUAGCUUCAUGAGACGAACAAUGUGAUCUCUGCGCCUCCGUUCCCCUGCCCAGGUCUUGCUUUUAACAUGGAACUUGACCAUCUCUGCCUUGAAAUCCUGGUGAUCCAUGGGACAGUAACUCUGUGGUUCACAUAGCUCCUAUCAGAAAAGGAAAUCAAUGAUUAUAUAUUUUCCCAUAAUUUAAAGCCCACAAUUCAGUUAAUCACAACAAUUAUUAGUCACAAAAAUAACAACAUACAACUUCUAAAUAAGAGAAUCGGUAUAUUAUGGCUCUUUGACUUAUAGGGGAAAACAAGUGAAAUCUCGUAAUUUGUUUCCAUUAAGUCUUUAAAAAACAGCAAAGAUACGAAUGGGAUAAGGGGAAAAGCCCCUAUCUUACUAGGCACAUUGCUUUUUCUUUUAUUUAGUCAUCUAUGGAAUUUAUAAGCUGUCCCACUGUAUUGUAAUUCUGAAUGGCUUACAGAGUGCAAAAAUAAAAUUCCAGUGUAAUUCCUCAAUGCCAUUCCUUCCCAAAUCUGGAUCUAGAUGUUCCAAAUCAAAGACAAGAAAUGUGUAGAAAGGGCUAUAUAAAAAUCUAAAUUUUAAAAUAGGUGAUAGAAAUCUUUCUAUGAUGUAUCUUUUCCAGAAGAGAAGUGAAUAGAGAUUAAGAUCUUACCUAAAACGGAAUAUCCAGAAAUUUGCCUGGUGCUAAUUACCGUAUAUACUCGAAUAUAAGCCGAUCCGAGUAUAAGCCGAGGUCCCCAAUUUUACCCCAAAAACUGGGGUAAACUGGGGACUCGAGUAUAAGCCGAGGGUGGGAAAUGAGGCACCUACCGGUUGGGGAAACCCUCCCUCCCUCAGCUGAGAAGGCUGGCGGCUCCCCCGCCCCGCACUCUCACUGCACCGGCAGGGCUUCCGUCCGGUAAAAUGUGAAAAAAAGAAAAAAAAAACACUCGAGUAUAAGCCGUAUAUACUCGAGUAUAAGCCGAGGGGCUUUAAAAAAAAACAAAACUCGAGUAUAAGCCGUAUAGACCCGAGUAUAAGCCGAGGGGAAGUUUUUCAGCACAAAAAACGUGCUGAAAAACUCGGCUUAUACUCGAGUAUAUACGGUAGUUAAAAGUGUUAGAUUAAAUUGGCUGAAUUUUUAUACAUAUAAUAUCUAAUUCUUAACUGCUUCUUUACUAGCCAGAUUUUCAUUUUUGUUACUAUAUUGUUGAAGGGUUCUUUAUUAAUGUUUCUUAGUUUAAAAUCAAUCUAGGUAAAAAGAUAUGGAAUACUGAAAGAAGGUAUGAUUUUUGCUAUUGUUGGAAUCAUCAGCAUCUGACAGAUGAAGUGUGUUUCUAUAAUAUAUAACAAUUGUUUUUGUCUGAU